AAGAUGUGAGUAUUGCUGUAACCAAGGGAUUGGCACAUCUGACCAAGGUUAUCAAUCACUGUCAACCCAGAACCAGAAGCUAGUACCAAUGAGAUAAAAAUAAGCCAGAAAUCUGCCUUCACAAGUGCCUGCAACAAAGUAAAAUCCUCUCCUCUACGAGGACCUUUUCUCCGCUUAACCCUUACAGCUCCUUCUGCAGCUGCUUGAAACAGUUUAGCUUGCAAAUGAGCAAUUCUUUUAUGCCUCUCUGAUGCUGGAAGUGAAUCAACAUCCGAGGCUUUCUCAUCUUCCACCUCACUGAAAAUUACCUCAUUCUCAUCCUGUCCCAUUUUACCAGCUUCCUGUUUCUGGGGAUCAAGAAGAAGGCUCUCUUCUGUUGUGGGUCUUGGUUGCGAGAAGAAAACCAACAUAAUGGGGAUUGCAAUAGGAAGUAAAAUGAGAACAAUUAAAAUAACAGUUAAUAUUAUGAUCAAUGUCUGGUUCAGACUGACUAAAUCUUCAAGUACCAAUACUGUCAAGAGAUAAGCAGCUAGAACAAGGCAAAUACUGUAAGUAAACAAGAAGCUUGAAUUAUCACUUUGUCUAAAUUGCUUGUGACCUCCAACUGGUCGAACAAUGAACAUGAGAGCACUUAUAAUCACAGUCGGACAAACAGCAACCAUAAAGAUUAGUGAUGCUUGAUUGGGAAAGUUCAUCAUGGCAUAUAUUUGAGUAAGAAUUGCACCACUUAAGCCAGCAAAUCCCUUUAGUAUGCCAACGACUGGACCACGGCUUUUGGGGAAGUUCUGAACACAAGAAACAAGAGCUCCUGUAUUGAAGUACGUCUCACCAUUUGUUCCGACAAAUAUCAAAAUGCAUAGCUGCAAACAAAUAACCAUAGUCAAGGAUAAAAUAUAGAAAAGAAAACAACCAAAAGACUACAAACAGUUGCUUCAUGCAAAGAUCAAAGUGAUCAACCAGGUUCCUAAAGUGGUUGAAGAAAAAAAGUGCAAGAAUGAAUACCACUAGUCAUUUUUUUCCCCAGGUUGCAGAAGCAAGAUGCAUUAAACAGUCCCAUAUACUCAAAAGCACAAGACCUUGUUGACUAUGCUACCAAUUCACACCUAAAUGACUACAUUAUCAUGAAAACUCCAGAAGACAUCCCAGAGGCAGCAUGUAAGAUUGAUACCUAAAGAGUUCGGGACCUUUACGGUAAACUUUGUAGACAUUAGUCUGCUAAUGUGUCCACUGAGGUCAAGGAUCAAGUACUCAAUUUGCCCAUUUGAUAUAUUGAACUUUUACUGGUACUUCAGCAUAUUGUUCCUUCCUUAAGUCAUAAGACUGUUUUUGGCAAAUAAUUUGACCAUCUUAAACUUCUCAUAAUUUCAAUUAAAGCCUUCUUUGUGCCAAAAUAGUAUUUAAUCUGAACUUAAGCAUUUUCAACAUAGUAUAUUCAUAGAAACAGUAAAGGAUAGAGUAAUGCUGGGAAUCAGAAGCUAGAGAAAUUAGAACACCUCAAAGUUCUUCUGGUAGAGUAGCUGUCUAGCCAAGUAGAUAUAUUGGAGUCUCAUCAUGACUGAUGCAACAGCAAAGAAAACUUUUUACUUCAUCAAGAAUUAUGAAAAGACUAGCUCAUGUAAGCAUAGCUAACAAGACAGCAAAUCAUACCUAGGCAUCUUCUAUACACUAAACAUGUUCAUCUUUAUUUAUAUAAUUUGAAGUCGUCAUUUCCACCAAAUCUAGCCAAUGGCAUAGCUACAGAGGUCAAUUAUGUCGAAGGUUCAAUUCACUCAAAAAUUUUUCCUUGUUUUUCUAGUUCUUUCUCUUCCUCUUUCUUUCCUUCUUUUCAUCUUUCCCUGUGAAAUGUCUUAAACCAUUGCGAAAGUAAGAAAAAUAUACAAGAAAGAUGGUUUCACUGUGGUAUUACAGAAAGUGGGUGUUCAAAUUUGAAAAAUGCGUUCUAAGUCUAGAGUAAAGUUUGUCAAACAUGAGCUCAGCUGGUUUUAAAAUAAAAAAAUGAAAAUCUUUUCAUGUGAUCUCAUUUUGUGAAUUUGAUCAUGCAACUUACUAUUUUCUUUCAAGAUGAGAAUGCAUAUCCAAAAAAAUUGGGAAAACCAGACAUUUGACAAAUUUGAGCUCCUACACAAAACCUUAAUACAAGACUGCCAGCAGCAUUAGGUAAAAUCUUUGCUGAGAAUUUUAAACAUUUUAUCAAAGGCACCAAGGAGGUGCAACCGAUUUACAGAAGAAAACUUAUCUCUUGAGAGACCUAUGUGCUCAGCCAAUAAAAGUCAGCGGACGACAGGAAAUCUAUUAAAUGUAAAUUCCUGAAUCUGUUCAAUGAAACAUUUUUCAUGUGUUCUAUGUUCUUCUAACUCCCAUUAGCAGCCCCAUCUUUUCUUUCUGUUCAAAAUGACCAGAAGAUGCAUAGUUGCAAAAACUAGUCAACUGUAAAGUAAAUCAGAAAUUACACGUGCUCCGAAGCUGUAAAGAAAAUGCAUCUUUACCAGAUAAGCAUUUUAUGGUCAGCAGACAGAAUUUGACACGUGAAGCUCCAAGGAGAUUAUUUUGCAGGUAUAAAAUGUAAACCCCUCAAACCAUCAGGUAGCAAAAAGUUUCUGAUGAUCUACAGUAAACGGAAGAGCAAGGUAUGGAGAGAGUGGAUAACAGUUCAUGCAGAAAAGAAUAUACUUCAUCUCACUUUUGUAGUUUUUAAUACAACAACGAUAAUCUAGAUAACAAUGUUGAUAACAAGAUUAGUCAGAGAAUACAGAUGGGAUUUUGAUCUGGAACCAUGGACCAUGUAAGGAAGUAAACAGUUCCAUUGUAGAAGUGCAAUGAAUCUUCUCUGGAACUAUACCAUGAAAUUUGCAGUUAAAACAUUCUUGGAAAGCAGCAACUAUUGUAAUGCAAAAAACUAGAAAAGAACAAGAAUAUAAUUAUGAUUUCACUGAGAAGUGAAUGAAGCGAUCAGCCCUUGGCACAACCAAAAUAUAUCCAAAUUUUAGAGUAAUACUUGAACAGUCACUUGAUGGCCACGAAAAGUAAGCUACAUAAUUGCCUUGUCAAAUUGGUAGAAGCUAAGGGAAACUGAAGCAGCAGAGAUAAGUUACACACUUGGCUAAUUGAAACAAGAAAAUGAAUACCAGGGGAAUGCCCUAAAUUGGUGACAUGAGAAGCAACAGUUCUUAUUUUUUAAUGUCUCAGAAUUUUUCUCUUCAUGUACUUCUCACUCUGGUUUAUAUUUCUUCUGAAAGUGACAUGAGAAGUAACAGUUAUUAUUGCUCAAUGACUAUGCAUGCAUUUGCUUCAUCUACAUCUUACGAUGAUAUUGUUGGUUUAGACUUCAUAUGUAAGAAUUACUAUGAUGGGUUGAAUUUCUAUCGAAGUUGACAAUAAGAUGACACUCAGAAGCUAUCCUGAAAAAACUUGCAGAGAUAAAGAGAAGGAAGGGAAUGGUUACUGCUUUUGUCGCAUGGAUUUCAUAAACGCAUGUAUACUUGAAUUGCCAGACAUGGCAACAACCAGACAAGCCCUAGAUUGUAAAACAACAAUCAAGACUAAAACUUCAAGCCAAAUUAUGAUGGCUGGAGGAGAUAUUUUUGCUGCUACUACAUUCAAGACUAAGGCUUGAAGUCACAGAGCUAUAUCGGUUGCUACAGAGAAAUUUUUUGAAUACUAUCUUUAGUUUGUUAAAUUACAAGUAAACUUUGUAGGUAAAGAACCACUAAAAUGGAUCUAUGAGUUCCAUCAAGUUUUGGUACUACAUAAAUGGAAAUAGACAGAAAACAACCGUAAUUUAUCCUACAAAGCUUGACAUAUCAAGAAUCAUAUCAACUGCUAAGUAGAUUCAUAUAUUAACAUCUGACCAAAGGCAACCAAAAAACUGACUUUACAAGUAAUAAAACAAAAAACCCAAAAAGGAAAGGGCAUAAAAAUACUAAUAAAAAUUAAAAGGGAACAUAAUAAAAAGUUGACUUUACCACCCAAAGAGGCAGAGCAGGCAAAGCACCUACGACAAUGAGUCCAACCAGACCAUACCCAAUAAAGUUCUGCACAACCCCGAUCAGUAAAACCGACCAAAUUGGCAAAAUUUCACACAAACUCCCAGCAAUGAAACCAAUAGCAUCUCCUAAAUCUUUGGCCACACCCAGCAUAGACACUUGCCUUUGAUUAUAACCCAUGGUGCUUUUUAUCACUGGAGAUAUGCUUCCAAAAAGAUACCCAAUUCCUGAACAAGAUUGAACCCACAUUGAGGCUACAAAAACCGCCCAUUUGUUGUUGAAAAAGGAUUUCAGUUUCUCAGGAAUUUGAAUAACCAUGCUGCUGUUCCUGAUGAUCAAACUAUGCAACUAAAAGCACGAAAAGGAUUUUUUUUAAAAAAAUUUGGUUUUUUGUUUUUUUCUCUGUAUUUGCAGGAAAAUGAAGAGUUGCCUGUGGUCUU
rnacentral:lncRNA from 1 species